rnacentral:lncRNA from 1 species
CAUAUAUUUUAUAUGAAUGACAAUUGAACCAAUGAUGUCGAGCCAUAAAUAAUCUUUAAAAUUCUAGAGCUGCAAUGUGUACUUUUUUCCUGAAGAAGAUAAGAAUGCUCUUAUUAAAUUGGUAAGGUACUCAUUUAAGUUCAAUCUCCCUGAAGACAUGAGCAACCUACUACGACAUCAUCAAACUCUUUUGCCCAUGGCAAAGACAAAGGUCAAAUGCAUUAAAGAUAGGGUUAGUUACCAAAUCCUAUCUUUAAUACUCUCAUAAUUGAAGAUCAAUUUAAAUAGAGAAGGAAUCUCAAUUAUAUACAAUCAAGAUACUUGCUAGAUAAUUCCAAGAUAUUAUCUCAUAACUAAUAUAUUUGAGAUUAAUCUUUCCUCAUUCAUUACACGGAUAAUUCACAUUGGCCAAUCGGAUGCAGCCAUGUGUAAGGCAAGACCCUAACCCUAUGGCUAGACCUAGCUCUAUAAAUAUCCCAUCUCCACCAAUUUCUGGUAAUCUUUUGCUACGCACUUAAGCUUUCAACUCUCUUUUCAAAGAAACUGACUUAGGCAUCAGAGAUCUAUUGGCUAACCCCCUCCAACUUGUAGGCGCAUGAGGCUUUGGCCUUGAUCAAAUGUGUUUAAAUUGUUUUGUAGGUACAAUUUUGUCAAGACUAAAGACGACGAAAUUUUGCUACAAUAAAUUGGUGUUUUCAUUGAGAGCUCGAUUUAAUAUGCUCGAAAAGGCUCUCACAUUCAUUCUUUGAGAUUUUCUGUUACGUUGAAUUUCCCUUAGACUCCUAGUUAUUGAAUUUUUCCUAGAAAAGUUCCUUGAUCAAUCCUUGGGAAAAGGAUACAAUGGUAGGAAAUUAUGAAACCACGACAUAUAGAACAACCUACCUCGAAGGAUACAGACUGGAGGAUGGAGACCAAAACAUGGCUUGCGUUGACGCUCUUCGAGGCUUAACACAACGACAGAAUGAGCCCGACCGUCGAGGAGCACCACCGCUGCCCACUGCAACCCAGCCAAAUACAAUGCCCACUGCAGCAGCAACUGUUAGAGAUUUCAAUAAUAAAUAUAUAAAUUAUUAUAUAUAUGACUUGGCUGCGUUGUGCAGCAUGUGUGUGUGUGUGUGCGCGCGCAGAAAGGGCAGCAACCUUACAAAAGGUUGUGUUUUAUUCAACCUUUUAGGGUUGUAUAUCUUUUGAAUGGUUGCAAGUUUUGGUUAAAAGACAUGAUGCUUACUUAAAUUGUAUGAGUAGAAUUAAAAGAUAUAAUUACUCAAUAUUUAUUUUCUGAUAAUUCUAAAUAGAAGACAUGUCUUUUGGAUCAACACUUUUAAGAAGAGUUGUAUAUCUUCAACUAAAAUGAAAGGACUCGAUGCACGGGUGCUUUAAUGCCUAUAAAUACCUAUUGUGGCAUAAUGUAUGUUUCACACAUAGUUUUCAGAAAUUUGUUUCUACAUUCCUUGCUCUCUUUUGUCUCCAUCACAUUCAUACAAUUUCUUUUUAGUUAAUUCUAAGAGAAUACAAUUCGGUUUUGCUAAUCGAAUAUUUCAUACUUUGUUGUAUCCUGGAAGUGACUUGCCAAUAACCCUUUAGCAAACUCAUUCGAGUGGGGGCAAAUAACACUUUAAGGAAACGAUUCAAGUCAUACCUCAAAGUCAUCAUUCGAAUUAUUCUCUAUAUUUCUACUUUUUACUCUAUCAGCAACAGCCCAAGUUGAGGCUUAGGUGCAUCAUAGGCAGGAGGCCCAGAAGGAAGCAACCCAUAUUGCAACUAUAAUCCAUGACGCCAGGCCUAGACAACAACAUCAAGCCUUGAUGCCCAAGAGGCCAAGACCGAGCACAGCGCGCAGUAGAAGCACCACCAAAUCUCCCUAUACUUUUCUCUAAGAAUACUCAAAAUGAAAUCACAAGCAAAACCCAAAAAAUGUAUUCAAGCUUACCCAACAAAUCUCUCCUCCAAACACUUCAUUAUUUUCUUCUAGUUAUCAAGAUAGAGAUUUUGAAGAACCAGAAAUUUGUCAUACCUGUGUAGCAGAUUAAAACACCAUUUUCUGUAGCUCAAAUCAAAAGGUCGUCUUCAUAAAAGUUGUUCGUUAACUCCUGAACUACAACAUAUCCAAAAUUGGGGGGCCAUAUAGGAACAGUACAACCUCAGAAACCCACGUAUAAUUAGUGACUGUUCAUCACUUGUCUGAAUAGGCCUGUUGUAAGCUUCAAAAAUCCUUCAGAGAAGUUGUUCCUUAUCUUUUCUCCCAUAAUAUAUCAUAAUACUAGAAAGAUCCAAUGGUCCAUUCGUUCUAGGAUAUGAAAAUACUAUCACAAUCAUGAAAAUCCGCAGAAAAUCCUAGUCAUUUAUGGAGCUUCAAAACUCUAACUUCCUGCAAAAAAAAAAAAAACACUUCCUUCAUAAAAUUUGUUCCCUAUCAUCUCUUCUAUAUCAUAUCCACAAAUCAUGAUAAUCCAAUGUACAUGCUGACCUGUACGUCGGUUUGAGCAGCUGAUGUACGGUUGAGCUAGCCUUUUCGGCCAACCUCUUUGUCUGAUCAACAUCUCCAGUUAAAGAGAAGGAGUUUAAGAAGGGAAGAAAAGAAGAGAGAGAGAGAGAGAGAGAGAGAGAGGUGAAGAGAGAAACAAGAGUGUUGUUUUGUAUUUUGGUAGAUGUGAGAAGAAAAGAAAGAAACAGAGUGGUGAGUGAAGGGUGAGUGAAAAAGAAAAAGAAUUCAAAAGAAUUGAAAGAAAAGAAAUGAGGUUCGGGAAGGUUUGGUGGGAGUUGAAAAGAAAGAGAGGAGUGGUGAGAGGGAGUAAGUUUGGGAGAAAAAGAAAAGUGAGUUGAUGUGAGUAAAAGAAAUUUUAUCCACACUAAAGAAUAAAGAACAAAAAUUAAUAAAAGAAAACAUAUAAGAAAGAUUUAAAUUUACCUAAAGAAAAAAAGGUGCUUUAGAUUUUGGCACUUACAACUCAUUAUUUAUAGAUAAAACCCAUCUAUCUUUAAAGAUCCAGUUUAAGCCCAAAUUUAAAAUUUGCAAACAUAUGGGAACACUAUUGACUUAUUAAUACAAUUUAUUUACACUCAUGCCACUCAUACUUUAUGGUCUCUUUUCCAAAUUCCUAAAUCUAUGCCAAAUUAAAAGUAGUAGAAAAAGUGAAAUAAAAUGCAAAAAGUAGAAAAGUAUUUUUUUUUCGUGAUAUAUUUUGUAUCAAUUUUACCCAUAUUAAUUGGUAGGUAAAUUAAUUUGUUCCAAUUAUUUAAAAAAAAAAUACUACACCUAUAUUAUAUAUUUUGAAUCAAAUAACAUUCCUCUAACUUGUAGGUAAAUUAUUUUCUAUGUAUUGUUAUAUAUGUUAGACACGUUUUGUUGUUGUAUAAACAUGAGUGGAACAUAAUAUUGUUGAUUUUAUACGUCAAAUUGCAUUUCUUUUGUUAUAGGUAAAUUAUUUUUCAUGUACAAGUACUUAUGUUAGUCACGUUUUGUUGUUGGUACAUACAAUAUUUUGUAUCAUUUUGAAGAAAGAUAUUACAUUACACCCAUGAUAUAAUUGUUGACACACCCCGACCCAGAGGAUCAAGGCGUGCUGGCCAUCAAGUGAGCGUGACGUAACCAUAAGUGCGACACGGAAGCAAGAUAUAACAGAAUACGAAGGAAUUCAAAUCAAUCUCUAGUAGAACCACCUACUAGAAUGAAAGGAUGAGUUAUAAAGUAAACACAUAAAUUCAGAGCAUACGUUUAAGUGCAGUCAAGUAGGACCAAAAUAAAAUACAUCACCCGCAGGCAAGGAAGAAAAUAUCGGUAAUAUCGGAAAUAUCGGUAGUCCGAAAACAUGGAAAUAUCGAUGGAAAUAUCGGGAUAAUAUCGAUAUCGAUAAAAAUUACAUGGAAACCACGGAAAUUGUAAGAAAAACUAGGAAAUUUUUAAUGAAACUUUGUAGGAUGUUUAUUUAGUCAAUUAUCUAUUA